GACGAACGCUGGCGGCGUGCCUAUUACAUGCAAGUCGAGCGCAGGAAACUGACGGAACUCUUCGGAGGGAAGGCAGCGGAAUGAGCGGCGGACGGGUGAGUAACACGUAAGGAACCUGCCUCAAGGAUUGGGAUAACGCCGAGAAAUCGGAGCUAAUACCGAAUAGUUCAACGGACCGCAUGGUCCGCUGAUGAAAGGGGCUCCGGCGUCACCUUGAGAUGGCCGUGCGGUGCAUUAGCUAGUUGGUGGGGUAACGGGCCACCAAGGCGACGGUGCAUAGCCGACCUGAGAGGGUGAUCGGCCACACUGGGACUGGGACACGGCCCAGACUCCUACGGGAGGCAGCAGUAGGGAAUCUUCCACAAUGGACGAAAGUCUGAUGGAGCAACGCCGCGUGAGUGAUGAAGGUUUUCGGAUCGUAAAACUCUGUUGUAAGGGAAGAACACGUACGAGAGGGAAUGCUCGUACCUUGGCGGUACCUUACGAGAAAGCCACGGCUAACUACGUGCCAGCCGCCGCCGUAAAAC
rnacentral:rRNA from 1 species